rnacentral:rRNA from 1 species
GGAGGGUGCGAGCGUUGUUCGGAAUUAUUGGGCGUAAAGAGCGUGUAGGCGGUUUGGUAAGUCAGAUGUGAAAGCCCUGGGCUCAACCCAGGAAGUGCAUUUGAUACUGCCUUACUUGAGUAUGGGAGAGGAGAGUGGAAUUCCCAGUGUAGAGGUGAAAUUCGUAGAUAUUGGGAAGAACACCCGUGGCGAAGGCGACUCUCUGGACCAAUACUGACGCUGAGACGCGAAGGCGUGGGGAGCAAACAGGAUUAGAUACCCUGGUAGUCCACGCCGUAAACGAUGAGAACUAGGUGUAGCGGGUAUUGACCCCUGCUGUGCCGGAGCUAACGCAUUAAGUUCUCCGCCUGGGAGUACGGCCGCAAGGCUA